UAAAAACAGUAUUGCUUUUUUUUUGCUUUCUUUUUCUUUAUUUCUUCUAAAAGAAAAAGAAUGGGAUACAUGUGCAGAACGUGCAGGCUUGUUACAUAGGUACAUGUGUGCCACCGUGGUUUGCUGCACCUAUUGACCCGUCCUCUACGAUCCCUCCCCUCACCUCCCACCAUCGAACAGCCCCUGGUGUAUGUUGUUUCCCCGUGUCCCUGUGUUCUCAAUAAAAACAUUAUUUCAAAGGAAAUUUAUGGUCUUAAGUUUUUAAUGUUAUAUGAAAUGUUUACAACAGGGAAAUCUAUAGAGACAGAAAGUAAAGUAAUAGUUGAAAGGAGUGGCAGAGGCAAGUUGAAGAGUGACAACUCAUAGGUGCAGGGUUUCUGUUUGGAGUGAUGAAAAUAUUCUACAAUUCAUUGUGGUGAUGGUUGCACAACUCUGCAAGCAUACAACAAAAGAUUGAAUUUUACACUUUAAAUAGGUGAAUUGUUUAGAAUGUGAAUUAUAUCUCAUAAAGCUGUUUUAAAAAUCUUAUGUUAGACUGGAAAAAAAAGGUAAGCAUUAAUGAGCUAAGCAUCCAAAUCAAAAGUUAGAAAUAGACUGAUAGAAUAAAUGUAAGAUAAUAAAAUGAAAAAGACAAGAGCAGAAAUAGAUGAAAUAGAAAAAAUACAUUUGAUAGAAUUUUAAAAAUUGAAAAAUUGGUCCUCAAAAGAUAUAAUUUAAAAAGCAAGCCUUUGAUGAGACCAAUCAAGAAAAAAGGUGAAAAUAAACAAUAUUAGCAGUAAACAAGAGGACACAAUAAUGAAUAUGCAGUGAUUUUAACAGAUAAGAGAAUACCAUAAUUAACUUUAUGACAAUGAAUUCGAAAAUGUGGAUGAAAUGGAUACAUUAUUUGAAAAAUAAGACUUGCCAAAAUUGGCUCAGAAAGAAACAGAGAAUCCAAAGGGUCCUAUAACCACGGAAAACAAUUAAAUCAGUAGUUUAAAAGUUCCCUGCCCCUCUCCUCAGAAAAAUAGACCCAGAUGUAACAGAUAAAGUCCAAUCUUAUACAAGCUCUUCUAUAGCCUAGAAAUAAGUAAUGUUGUUCAAUGCAUUUUAUGAGCCAAAUAUCUUUUAUAUUAAAACUGACAAGAUCAGUAUAAAAAAUGAAAUUUCAAACAAGUCUCAAAAUAUAAAUGUGAAAAUCUUAAACAAAAUACCAGCAAGUAGAAUCCAGCAAUGUAUUUUAAAAAGUCAUGAUCAGAAUGGUAACGCAGAGCUGGCUUAACAUUUUAAAAAAUCUAUCAAAGCUUAAUUGAUACAUUCUAACACUAUAUGGAAAUAUAAAGACCCAACAAGAGCUACAUCAAUUUGGAAACAAAGGAUAGAGUGGAGACUUACCCUACUGGAUAGUAAGAUACACUGUAUGUGUCAGUCAGGGUAACAAUAUGCUAUACUGAAGUAACAAAUGAACCUCAAAACCUCAGUGAAGUAAACAAAGGUUUAUUUCCUAUUUACGUAAAAUUUAAUGAUUAGGCAGCUCUCCAGUCUUCCAUGCAGUUACUCAGGAACCUAAGGCUUCUUCCAUCUUGUGGUUCCUCCAUCUAAACACACAGCCUUUUACACCAGUUUUAAAUAACCUUGACCCAGAAAUAAUAAACAUUACUUUGCUUGUAGUGUGUAGUCCAGAUAGUCAUAUGACCUCAAUCUAACUGCAAGGCAAGCUAGGAAAGUAAGUACAAAAAUCAUUUGGUGAGUACCAGCUCUCCCUGCCGUAUCAUAGUAACAAAAGUAAUAUGGAAGAGAUAAAUACAUAAAUGGAAACGUUUAGAGACAGACUUAAGUAGAUACAGAAAAAAUAGGCAGCACAAAUCAAUGGAGAAAGGAUGGACGGUAUAAUACAUGUUAUUGGAAAGACUAGUUCACUAUUUGAAGAAAAAUAAAGCUGGAACCCUCCUUAGCACCAUGUAUAAAUCUAGACUACAGAGAAUAAAAUAAAUUUGAAAGCUAAAAUUAUGAAGUUAAUAGAUGAUGAUAUAGGAAAAAAUCUUUGUGGCCUAGAAUUAGAUAACAAUUUCUUAAACAAAACCUCAGAAGUAGAUGCCAUAAGACACAAAAGAUUAAUAGAUUUGAUUACAUAAAAAAUAAGAAUUUCUAUUCAAUGAGAGACACCAUAAACAAAGUUAAUAGAUGACAGAGAAAAGUUAUUUACAAUACCUUUAACAAAGGAUUAAUAGCUAGCAUAUACAAAGUACUCCUGCAAAUCCAAAAGAAAAAGACAGGAAUACACUGCCUUAAAGUGACAAAAGAGGACGGACGGAUGAGGUGGCUCCUGCCUGUAAUGCCAGUGCUUUGGGAGGCCAAGGCAGAAGGAUAGCUUGAGGCCAGGAGUUGAAGACCAGCUUAGGCAACAUGGCAAGAUCUUGUUUCUACAAAAAAAAAAAAAAAAAAAAAAAAACCUAUUUUAAAAAAUUAGCUGAAUGUGAUGGUGCAUGCCUCUGGUUCCAGCUACUUGGAGCAGCUAGGCAGAAGAAUCGCUUGAGCCCAGGAGGUCAAGACUGCAGUGAGCCAUGUUUGUGCCACUGCACUCCAGCCUGGGUGACAGAGUGAGACCCUAUCUCAAAAAGUAAAAUAAAGUAAAAUAAAAUAAACUGACAAAACAUGACAAAUAUACCCAGAGGAGAUGAAAACCAAAAUGCUCAGAAAUAAAUGAAGAGAUGUUCAAACUCAUUAUUAACCAGUUAAUUGCUAAUUAAAAUUCAGUUAUAAAUCCGUUUAUACCUAUUUGGCUGGCAAAAAUUUUAAAGCUGGGACCUGCCGAUUGUUAGUGAGGGUACAAAGAUAGAGGAAUUCUAAUGCACACAGCUGAUUAGAGUUUAGACUGGAGCUGCUAUUCCAAAGAGCAAUCUGACAUACAUAAAUGAAUUAUACAUAUGCCCUAUGACUCAACAAUUCCAUUCAUUUUAUAUAUAUUCCAGAACACUUUUCAUGUAGGUCCAUAAGGGGACAUGCAUGAGGACGUUCAUCACAAUGUAUGAGGUAACAGAAAGUUGGAAGCAGUAUAGAUUUUAUUUCCUGGAAAAUGAGGAAGUAAAUUGGAGUGGAUGAAUACCAUGGUACAUUAUGCAACAGUGUGAAACUACAGACCAUGUACACAGAGUGACAUAGAUGGAUCUUUAAAAAAAUAUUACUGAGUGGGGAAAAAAGCCAGAAUAAGAUCCACAGCACCAUACUACUAUCUAAAUCCAUGCAUACAAAGUAAUGUAAGUUUUAAAAUAACUCAAACAAACAUACACAUCAAAUAAAUUAGAAGGUUGCCUUUGGGGAGGAGAUGGAAGUAAAGAAUAGAGAAGAAAGGAAACAAAUAAAGUAGUAAAUGAAUUAAUAAAGGAAAGAAAAUGGGUUUUGAUUAGACCAAUGCAGAUGGUAUGCUACGAAGGGAAGAAUAUGGUUAGUAUAAUCCUCAUCACCUAAGGUCCAAAAAAAAAGGAAGGACAGAAAUCCAUUAAUGUUGUAGUAGUAUAAAAGUCUAAACUGCUGUAAUGAAAAACUCAAAAAUUGUAUGACUUAAAAAAUAUAUUUUCAUUACCAAAAGAGUCUGAGGUUAAUGUUCCAGGUCAGCAGAGAGGCUCUGCUACACGUGGCCAUUCAGGGUCCCAGGCUCAUUCCAUCUUGUAGCUCCAUCCUUCUCUAGGUACUCAAAGUUAUCUCCAUUCAGCGGGUAGAUAGGAAAAGAGAGAGCACAAGUCAAGCAUGAGGAAGUUUCAUGAGGCAAAAUCUGGAACACAUCACUCCUGCCACAAUCCAUUGGCCAGAACUCAGUCUCAUGGUUGCACCCAAUCAUAGGGGACGUUGACCACUAUAGCUAGGCCACUAUUGACCAAUCUAGCUGGAUUCCAAGGAGUGGGCAGAAAACAUGGAUAUUGGAGAGCACUAACAGCCUCUACCACAGUUUGCAAGAGCUUUGUUGAGGGAAUUAUAAAAUGUUUUUAAGAGAUAUUAAUCAUCCAAAACGCUGAUCUCAGUGACUGCUUUUACUAGGCAAUGGUUUACAAAUGUUUUCAACCUCAUUGGUACAGUUCUCAGGGCUAGUUUGAUGCCCAAGUUUCUCUCUCCACCCUCGAUGUCCACGAUCAGUAAUGUCUUCCAUUUCCCCUGCAACUGUGUCCAUCCCCCAAAACGUGAGGGCGGAGAGGCAGGCAGGGAUUAGAAUUAGAAAAUGGACAGCAUGUCAGUAACAGAGGCAGGGAAUGAACAUGAGAUUUGUACUUCCUCAUAUUUUCACUUCCUCAUGUACUAUUACCGCCUUAAAAAAUAAGCAUCAGUGGCCAGGCGCGGUGGCUCAUGCCUGUAGUCUCAACACUUUGGGAGGCCAAGGCGGGCAGAUCACCUGAAGUCAGGAGUUCAAGACCAGCCUGGCUAGCAUGGUGAAACUCCACCUCUACUAAAAAUAUAAAAAUUAGCUGGGCGGGGUGGCACACGCCUGUAGUCCCAGCUACUCAGGAGGCUGAGGCAGGAGAAUCGCUUGAACCCUGGAGGCGGAGGUUGCCGUAAGCCUAGAUCGUGCCAAUUCACUCCAGCCUAGGUGACAGAGCGAGAGACUCCAUCAAAAAAAAAAAAGCGUCAGUAUGCAAUCAUUUUUACAAUCAGAAAAAAAAUGAAGUUAUGGUCACUGAAAAAUUAAUGAGGAAUUAAUCUGGGAAAAAUCUAUCAUAAAAAAUAUUUCUGGCCAGGUGCGGUAACUCACACCUGUAAUCCCAGCACUUUGGAAGGCCAAGGCAGGUGGAUCACUUGAGGCCAGGAGUUCGAGAGCAGCCUGGCCCACAUGGCGAAACCCUGUCUCUAGUAAAUAUACAAAAAUUAUCCGGGGAUAGCAGUGCACACCUGUAAUCCCAGCUACUCAUUAGGCUGAGGCAGGAGAAUCGCUUGAACCUAGGAGGUGGAGUUUGCAGUGAGCCAAAAUGGCACCACUGUACUCUAGCCUGGGUAAGAGUGAGGGAGACUCAGUCUAAAAAAAAAAAAAAAAAAAAAAAAAAAAAAAAAAAAAGUCCAAUUUAAGAGGGAGGAAGUGCCUUAGCACAAUUACGUUUUAUGAAUGUAUUGCUUUUCUGCACAAGAAGAGUUUAUAAACAUGCUAAGGUAUUUGAUAAGGUGAUUGGUAAGGUUUUUGAUAAGGUAUUUAGAAGGAUUAGACUGAAUCCUUCUAAACAAUGAAAUUUAACUCUGAGCAAAGGGAAGAGCUGUGAGAUUGAUGCUGCAAGGUAUGAGGAAUGCAGAGAUGGUCCUAUCCUUUCUGCCCAGUCAAGAUAGGGGGAAGGUGCUGCCCCCAUCCCCUCUCAUAUUUCAGAACGUCUCAUUUCCUGCAUAUGGGCACCUGACUCUUGCUCACUCCAAAAAUAUACCUGGACAGAUGACCAAGGUGGUGACCUGAGUAAAUGCUUUUGGAUCCUUCCCUCCUCCCUCUCCUAAAUUUCCACAGGGGUAACCCAGCCCCAGCAGAGAAGGGAGCACUGUUCCUGCCACUGGAAACCAGAACUCAUGCCUUCUAGACCCUUGCAGCUGAGGGUGUCCAUGAGGCCUGGAGAAGUGAUUGCUGGGGGAGUGUCCCUAGCCAUCUCCCUGCUCUCUGCCCUUAUUCACAGUGUCUGAGUGGAAGCCUCCCUGGACCCUAUCUGCUGCCUCCCACCUAUCAUGAGCAGUGCAGUCUGGUGGGCCUUUCAUGCCCAAAAUCUGCAUCUCCAGGGAAUCUAGGGAACCUAGCUUUGCUGCCUUUCAGUCACCUUCCUCCCUAGUGGCCCUUCAGCCAGGCUAAGGACAGUGUCCAAGAAACUCUCACCUACUGACCAUACUGAUUAACCUAGACCAGGUGUUCUCAACUGGAUAAGUCUAUAAACUCCUGGAAAUUGUAUACAAGGUUGUGUAUUGGGAGUGAGGGGAAGGUGCAUAUAAGUUUUCCAGGUGAGCGGCUAUAAGCUAUAAUUAUUAACAUGUUUUUAAUGGGAAGUAUAACCCUAAAUAUAUUAAAAACCACUGGCCCAGAAGGUCUAUGUUUAUAUUUGUUCUAAAUAGGAUGAUUUUCAUUUUUUAAUAGUAAAACUAAUAUAGUCAUUGUAAAAAUGUCAAACAACGCAGAAAUGUAUUGUAUUCAUUCAUUCACUUAAUAAGUCUCUAUUGAGCACCUAUGCAAGGCAUUGAGAAUACAAUGGUAGGAAAAACAGACUAGGUCUUUGUAUUCAUGAAGCUCACAGAUUAGUGGGGUAUAUACAUUAAUCAAAUAAUCACAUGAGUGUAUGGAUAAUUAUAAUUCCACAUAAAUACAAAGAAGGAAUGGAACACAGGUAUGUAUAUGAGUAUAUUGCUGCAGAUCAAGACAUACUCUGAGGGGCUAAAAAGGGAACAAAGAAAACUUCCCUAAGGAAGUAAAAUUUGAGAGGAAAUAAGGAAAAGUAUAAUUACUAGGCAAAGAGGAUAAUAUAAAUGUCUGGUAAUCAUACAUCCUGCAGAAUGCCAUAGCUAACACAUAUGUGUAAUUGGAAUAAAUCACAGUCCACAAACCCAAGUGUAUAAAACAUCCAGCUUUUAUUUUCUAUAGCAAUACUCAUAAUUUAUAUUUUGUCUUCUCAUCCCAUUGUUGUGCUGAAAUGGAAUCAAUUUAGGAUCUGCUGCAUUUUCCGUGGUGUGUCUAAGAUCAAAGAUGCUUACAAAGCACCUUAGAGUUGUUGGAGGAGGUCCACAUGAUUCUAGUAAUACUGCUCUACAUAAUUCACCAUUUUCAUUCCUUCCUCAGGACCUCUUCAAAUAUUGUAGCUCUCUAUUUUGCUUGUGUCGACCUUGAAUGAUCAAGACUUUCUGUGUUGCUUCCCUGCCUUUGCUAUGCUGAGAUACAGAAAACUUCGUUAGACUCUAUACUAUAUGUCUGGAAGCAAUGUAAAGCAGCAAUGCUUCAGGUAUCUCUUAACAGGUAUGACAUGUCACCUACACAAUUUAAUCCAACAAAACUGUCCAGCGAACUUCCAGUCAACAGCAGACUGAAGUGAGUUGGAAAGCUUCCCCCUUCCCACUCGAAACUCACAGAUGUGAUAGAAUGCUAAAAACAGUAAAUAGUCAAGUUCAUCAUCAUGAAAUGGAAAUCUCCAAGAAACAAAGAAGGAGCUAGCAAGGAGCGGGAGAUAAAGACAGACGGCUAUCGGCUUUAAGAUCUAGAGACCAGGAUUUAAUCCCACAUAGGGACAGAAAACAAUGCCUCUAGGCAGUGGAAGAUGGGAAGCUGGUACUGAGCUCCAAUCUAAAUCUAGGCCCCACAGAAACACAACCAGUACAUGAAAUGAUAACUAGAAAACUUUAUCCCACAGCAAAGAUACAUGAGAAGAAAGCUCAUCUUUUAUGUGAGGUCAUGGGUGGAUACAGAGCCCCCUGGGAGCAAUCAAAAUCCAGGCCAGCUCCAUUCAUAGGCCGAAUUCAUAAUCUGUACAUGUGAGAGAAUUCAAGGGACAUACACUAAUAUAAAAAUUAAUCUGGAACUGGUGAAACUUUUAUAGCCUUAGCAGAGACAAAGGCAAGGAGAAAAUUAGGACAUUCAAAUAUAGAUCUCAAUAAAUCACCCAGAAUGCAGCACACAAAGAUAAAACAGUACAAAAUAUGAGAAGCUAGAAGACAUGGCAGAAAAAGGGAAAGUUUCAAAAUAUACCUAGAACGAAGUCCAUAAAGAGAGUCUAGAGAGAAUGAGGAAGGGACAAUAUUUGAAGAGAUAGUGGCGUGAAUUUUUCAACAACUGAUGCUAGACAUGAAUCCUUAAGCAGCAUAAAUAGAAGUAAAGCCAUAGCUUGAUACAUCUUAGGGAAGAGCACCAACUAUACCUAACACUAUAUUUUCAUGUGUUUAGGCUUUGGGAAAUCGAAAAGCCCUUCCAUAAACCUUUCCUGAAACAAGGAAUGGGAAAAUGGAAAAGUAAGAAAUAUUGUGGGAAACAGAAGAACAUAAGUUUAUAAAACAUACUAUUCUGUCAUAUAUGCACAUGUGUAAAUAUUUACAAUCUCUAGUGAAAUGGUAAAUCUUUUUUUAAGAAAAAGUAAGAAACUGUCUUCAAGGAAAGGAGGAUAUAGCACUCUCUUUCCAGGAUUUCAGUCAGAGGGUACGUGACAAUGUUUAACAGUUUUCUGUAUCUGUCAUCCCAUUCCUUCGUAAAUCAUUGCACAUUUUCUUCCUUCUGACUAUUCAGAGGUUUCUCUUGGGGACAUAUACAAAAUGAUCCCAUUGAGAAAUGGUAUCAGCUGUUAGUCAAGCCACAAUCUCUACCCAGCUUAAUCGUCCUGCUUUCUCCUGACACUAAAUUCUGAGGAUAGUUAUUUUAAAGCCACAGCUAAGGUAAUCAACAUACAAUAACAGUAGCUGGAGCAAUGUGCUAAUGUGAAAUAUCAGAGACUUGGAAGGGAUGGGGAAGACAGAUUGAGAGAGUAAGUAAAUUAUGCAUUACAGUCUAAAGAUACUUUCUUAAAAUCUUUAAUCCAUCACUUAGGUAGGCCUCUCUAGGUAUGUCUAAGAAACAGUAUGUGAAGCAAAAUGUUGAUACAGUGAAGAAAUACAGAAUCACAAAAUUGAUUUCAAUCAAUCCCAGUUUUGCCUAUCCCCCAAAAGACCUUCCUUGGAGUUUUCCAUUCUCCAAAUUUCUCCAGUCCCUCGUAGUAUUUCCAUAGGUGACAAUUCAUAUCCAUUGUCUGUGCAUUUCAAAAUUUAUAUUAUUUCUGACUGAAAUAGAACUAUAGAAAGAGUCAAAUAUCAUAUUUAGCAAAAAGCAAUAACAACACUGGAAGAAAUAAAAUUAAAACAGGAAAAAUAAUUUCUGGAAUUGAGAAACAUGAUUUUCAAAUUUAAAAACUCACACUAAAUGAAAGAGAUAAUGUCACUGUUGAAAAUUGAAUAAGCAGCCAAGGUGAUCAGGUGAAAAUUUAAACAAUAAAUGAAAAUGAUGAAGGAAAAGAUAAAUCUUGGAGGACGGAUCCAAAAGGCCCAAUACAUUAAUGAAUUUCUAGGACGAGGAAGAGAAACAGAUGGAAAAGUGAUAGGUAAAGAAAUUGUGAAGAAAAAUUUCUCUAAUCUAAAGAAAAUCUUGAGGUUGAACAAUAAAAAGAUACCCCAAGUUCCAGACACCAUUAGUUUUUAAAAGUUCAAAUGCCUAGAAGUAUCAUUAUAAAAUUCAUAAAUUCCAAUCACAGAGAAUAUUAUAAAAAAGAAGUUACAUAAAAAGGGAAAAUAUCCGACAGGUAAAUUAUUUUUACUUGCCAUCCUGGAGGUAAGAAAACAAGGAAAUAAUCUCCACACACUACUAAAAGGAAAGAGUAGUAACUCCAAAACUGUGUGCCCAACCUAGGUAAUCAUUACAAGUCAAGGUGAAGUAGGAUAUAUUCAAGCAUGCAAAGAUUCAGAGAGAAUACAAUCCAUGUCUAAAUUAUCACAGGUAGCAUUUAUUGAGCACUUAGUACUUGUCAGGUGCUGCUCUAAGCACUUUACAUAUCUUUACAUAUCAGCUCAGCAACCUUAUGAGAUAAUCCAAUUCUUAACUUCAUUUUCACAUAAAGAAAUUUAUAUAGACAGUGAUUUAAAACUCACCCAAGAAAAUACAGCUUUUAAAUAAAUAGCUUCUAACUCAGCCACUGUCAUUCUGAGAUCACAAAUUUAACCACUAUGUAUUGAAUGCUACUUGGACUUUGUAUAAAUGUUUCUAAAGGUUUCCUAUUUUUGGAGUUGGGGGCAGUGGGAAAAUAAGGUGCCUCAGUGGGUGGUAUAAUUAUCUCAUUUGGAUUCAACAGUAGAGAAACAUUGUUUGAUUUUGAGUGCUAGCAUUCAUGGAAUGAAGUGUGUAGAAAAGCAUAGUAAAUUUUCCAAAUUCACAAUAUAAUGAAUGUGUAAGAAUAGAAGUUUGAAUAAACUAAAAAAAAUAAAUUAGAGAAAGGAAAUGGGGGCUCGACAAAAUAAAAUUAAUAGUAAAAAUAAUAGGAACAUAAAACAAAAUGAAGAGAAUAAAAUCAAGGGUAUUAACUGUUGCACUAAAGGUAAAAGGGCACAGACCAUGAUAGUGAAUUAAAAAUCCAACUAUAUGUUCUUUACAAGAAACACACCUACAGCAUAGCAACAAAGAAAUGUUGAAACAGAUCAGUGAGUGAGGAGAUAUCAGGCAUAAGCAAGCAAAAAGAAAACAUGGUUGAAAAUAUUAAUAUAAGCCAAAGGAAGCUCUAAAACACAAUUUAAAUCAUUAUUUGUAUGAAUAAAAAUGGCACAACUAAAGAAAUUAUAAGUAAUACUUUUGUAUGUACCAAACAGCAUUGCAACUAAACAGAUAAAGCAAAAACUGUUAGAAUUACAAGGAGAACUUUAAUACACCUCUAUCGGAAUUUGACCAACCCAUUAGAUGAAAAGAUAAUCAAAGACAUAGAGGAUCUAAAUAAUCAACCAAUGAUAUUAACUCAAUAGAAAGAAAUUUGCAUGAUAUAAGGAGAGAAUGUGCAUCUUUUUUCUUACAUGUAUAAAACUUUUAACAAAUCGAUCAUGUCCUCAAAAACAUAAAAAUACAUUAAUAAAUUCCAAAAAGGAGAGAAUAUAUAGGCAUAUCCUCUUAACAAAAUAAAAUUAGAAAUUAAUAAUAAAAAUGAUCAUAGUAAUUGCCUGAUAAUAUAGCAAUAUUCUCCAAAAUAACCCCUACGUCAAAAAGAAAAUUAAAAAUAAAAUUGCAAGUUAUAUGGAAAGCAAAGAAAAAGAGAACACAUCAUAUCAAACUGUACUGUGGCAUGGCUGAAGAUAUACCCAGAGAAAAACCCAUAGUCAUAAUUACCAUUAUUAUUCAAUAAAACCAUAAAUAAAAGAAAUACACACUCUUCUUGAAGAAAUUCAAAAGCACGAGAGAAAUAAUCCAAAGGCAGUAGAAGAAAUUAGUAAAAUUAAAGUUUAAGAUAAUGACCAAAAAAGCCAAUUGUAAAAGUGAUAAAUAGUGCUCGCUUCGGCAGCACAUAUACUAAAAUUGUAACGAUACAGAGAAGAUUAGCAUGGCCCCCGCGCAAGGAUGACACGCAAAUUCGUGAAGCAUUCCAUAUAUUUUUGAACAAUGAGAACACAUGGACACAGGGAAGGGAACAUCACACCGGGUCCUGUUAGUGGGUGGGUGGCUAGGGGAGGGAUAACAUCAGGAGAAAUACCUAAUGUAGGUGACAGGUUGAUGGGUGCAGCAAACCACCAUGGCACGUGUAUACCUAUGAAACAAAACUGCAGAUUCUGCACAUGUAACCCAGAACUUAAAGUGUAAUUUAAAAAGUGAUAAAAAGUUGGUUUUUUUUAAAUCACCAAUAAAAUACAUAAACAUCAUGAGUAUGACUAAGAAAACACAGGGAAAGCAAAAGCAUACAAAUUAUGAUUAAAGGGUUGAACCACACAAAUAGAUGUGAUUAUUAUAAAUCACAUGAGUAAUUUAUUAUUAUAUUAUAAUUAUUAUUAUUAUAAUUUUACACACAAACAUAUGACAUCAAAAUUGAAAAUCUAAAGAUAACAUAUAAUUUCCUAAUAGAAUAGAAGUUACCAACAUUAACUCAAGAAAUAGAAAAUUUGACUAGAACAAUUACUACAGAUGAGAUCGGAAAUGUGUUUGUAGAUUUACCAUUGUAAAACAAACCAAAAGUUUUGCAGUUGGGUUCUAACUAACCUUUAAGGAAAAGAUAAUACCAAUGUUAUCUAAACUCUACCAGAAAACAGGAAAAAAUGGAAAGUUCACUAAUGAUUUUAUAAAGCUAGCAAAGCUGAGACCAAAAUCUGUUAAAGAUAGUACAUAAAAAGGUAACUAUAAGCAGUUAUCAAUGAUAAACAUAAAAAAAAUAAAAUAUUAACAAACUCUAAAAUAUGUAGACAAACAGAUCUCAGAAGUAUAGCAAGAAAAAAACUGUACUAUUACCUGAUAGGGAUAGAUCCACAAAGGCAAAAAUAAAUAGUCAAACACCAAAUUCUUUUUUGUUUUUUGUUUUGUUUUGUUUUUGUUUUUGAGACAGGUCUCACUCUGUCACCCAAGCUAGAGUUCAAUGGCACAAUCACGGCUCACUGUAGCCUCGACCUCUCAGGCUCAGGUGAUCCUCCCACCUCGGCUUCCCAGAUAGCUGGGACUACAGGCUGAAUUCUCUUUUCUAAAAAAGUUUUUUUUCUAUGUGCGUUUUGAGACAGAUAGUGUCUUUUUUCCCCCAGGAAUUCUAUCAAUAUAAUUAAUUACAUAAAAUAUUUGGGAAGGCCGAGGUGAGUGGAUCACCUGAGGUCAGGAGUUCAAGGCCAGCCUGACCAACAUGGAGAAACCCCAUCUCUACUAAAAAUACAAAAUUAGCUGGGCGUGGUGGUGCAUGCCUGUAAUCCCAGCUACUUGGGAGGCUGAGGCAAGAGAAUUGCUUGAACCCGAGAGGUGGAGGUUGCCGUGAGCUGGGAUCGCACCAUUGUACUCCAUCCUGGGUGACAAAAGCGAAGCUCUGUCUCAAAAAAAAAAAAAAAAUUAAAGGAGAAAAAGUGCAUGAUUCUGUUAAUAGAUGUUGAAAAGCCACUAGGGAAAAAAUCAGCAGCUAAUCCUAACAGACACUAAUAGAAAUAGAAGGGGAUGACUUAAAUAUUAAAAGCACUUUUUACCAACAAUCAACAGCAAUCCUCAUUCAGACCAUGAAAUGCCAAAGUAAUUCCCACUAAAACCAGAAACGAGUCACUGUUACUCACAAUUUCCAUUCUUAUUCAAGUGUUUUUUGAGAUUAUAACUAUUGCAAUAAGAUAAGAAAUAGUGUAAAAUUGGGAAAAGAUAAAAUUAAUUUAUAUUUACAACUGAUAAUGAUUGUAUUCUUCUAAAAAACAAGGGACUAUUUAAAAAUUAGAAAGUCAAUCAGCAAAUUAGAAAAGGUGGUGGAACAUAAGAAAUAUUUUUUAAAUCAACAGCUUUUCUCUAUUCUAGCAAGUUUUUAGAGUAUUACACUAUAGAGCCCAUGUGUCAACAUUAUUCUUUUAUUUCUUUUGAUUAAAAGAACAUGUAUCACUCGUAAAUGACUAUCAUCUAUCUAUCAAACUCAUCAAACUAGUGCAUAGAAUGAUUGCAUCAAUUGCUAGUUCAACCAAUUGUAUCAGUCUCAAUGUCCCUCUGACACUUAUUUUAUUUUUUAUUACACUAUUAUAUGAUUUACUAUUUUUUCCAUUUGUACCCAAGUUUAUUUUAUAAAUUUAAACUAUUUCACCAUGUUUGAUAAGCAUAUUACUUUAUCUUGUAAGUGUCCACCAAAAUGUCUUAACUCAUAGUGCCUAAACCCUCUAUAUCUGACAAUUCAUUCUAUGCUUCAAAAAGAUCAGUUUCUUAUCUUUGGUUCCAAGCACACAUGAUAAUAUAUAAUAACUGUCUUGUUGGAAGACUGGAAUAGCCAGUAGACUUUCAAACUCUCAAGUACACUGAUUAGAUUACUCACUGUCAUGUGUCCUAGGACAACAUUAAGGUUUUUUUUUUUUUGAAAACUUAAUUUUAAUGUUUAUUUUUUGGGGGUACAUAGUAAGUGUGUAUAUUAUGGGAUAAAUGUAAUGUUUUGAUACAGGCAUGCAAUGUGAAAUAAGCACAUCAUGGAGAAUGAGGCAUCCAUCCCCUCAAGCAUUUAUCCUUUAAGUUACAAGCAAUCCAAUUACACUCUUUGAGUUAUUUUAGAAUGUACAAUUAAGUUAUUAUUGACUAUAGUUGGAAAAACCUAAGAUUGCUUUCAAUGAAGUGUUGUCACAUUCACUUAGGCCACUUAUUAGACUACCUUUUACAAACUGUGACAAUUUUGGUAAGAAUGUCAAGAAUAUGAAAUCCUUGAACAUUGUUGGUGGGAAUGUAAAUUAGUACAGCCAUUUUGGAAAAGAGUAUGGAGGCCCCUCAAAAAACUAAAAUUUUAAUUACCAUAUUAUCCAGCAAUCCCACUUCUGCAUAUAUAUUCAAAGGAAUUGAAAUCAGUGUAUCAAAGAGAUAUCUUCACUCCCAUGUUCAUUGCAGCAUUAUUCACAAUAGCCAAGAUGUGGAAUCAACCUAAGUGUCCAUCAUUGGAUGGAUAAAGAAAAUGUGGCACAUGCAAAUGGAAAUACAAUGGAAACAAUGCAGCCUUUAAAAAGAAGAAAAUUCUAGCCAGCCGGGUGUACUGGCACUGGCCUGUAGUCCUAGCUAAUUCAGAGGCUGGGGUGGGAGGAUCUCUUGAGCCCAGGAGUUCGAUACCAGCAUGGGCAACGUAAUGAGACUCUUAUGUCUUAUGUCUCUUAAAAAAAAAAAAGAAGGAAAAUUUGUCAGUUGCAACAUUUGCAAUAACAUGUUAAUCUAGAAAACAUUGUACUAGGUGAAAUAAGUCAGGCACAAAAAGACAAAUAAUGCAUGAUCUCACUUAUAUGUGGAAUCUUAAAAAGUCGAAUUCAUAGAAGUAGAGUAGAAUGGUAGUUACCACGGGAUGGGGGUAAGGGGAGGCACAAGGAAAGGAGAGAUGUUUCUUAAAGGGCACAAAGUUUCAGUUAGACAAAUGGAUUAAGUUCUAGUAGCCUAUUUCAUUGCAUGGGGACUAUACUUAAUAAUAACAUAUUGUAUAUUCCAAAAUUGCUUAAAAAGUAGAUUUUAAGUGUUCCCACCACAAAAGAUUAGUAUGUUAGGUGUUGUAUGUUAAUAGGCCUGUUUUAAUCAUUCCACAAUGUAUUCAUGUAUCAUAACAUGAUACUGUACUCCAUAAAUACAUACUUUUUAUUAUUCGUCAUUUUUUUAAAAAUAUAAUUUAAAAAAUUAAUCACACUGCUAAAAAAAAGUAUAUUUCUCUUAAACUCUUUUUGAUAGCCAAUUUGAUCAUAUAUGUUAAUAGUCAUAAAACUACCACCCACCGAUGCUCUACCUCUGCUAAAGGAGCAUCUGGGCAGACAAAAUUUAUAAUUGUGUCCAGGGAGAAAUGUGCUGCAUCUCUUGAAUACAAGAAUUGGAUUUCAGCAAUAACUUUAUCCUCACAGUGGAGAUGGAUCCACCAAGUUCUCCUACUUUGAGGGCACCCUGUCAGAAUAAAGUUACCUCUCUGAUAAGGCUUCCUUCACUCCCUUCUCCCCUCUCCCUCCUCUCCCAUCUAUCCCCUAAAGCAUACAUUGCCCAAGCCCUUAGCACAAUACCUGAGAGGGCCCCAGUGGAGAGGGUCAAGCACUGAGCUAUGCCACUCAGAUAAGUAAAUAUUACUUAUCCUGCUAAUACCAUACCCUCGGGGCAGGGCAGAUAAGGGACCCCAGGAUGGUGGUGACACGGCUCUGGCUUAAAAGCAAGAAAGAGCCAUGGUUUAAACAGAAAAACCGGAAAAAAAUCUUCAGCCUGGGAUGCGAUGCAAAAUAAAUGUAAAAAGCUAGCAUUGAAAAUAGUAUGAAUCAUUAUCUAAAAGGCCAUUCUCAAGGGAACUUAGCAAAGAAAUUAAUGAAAGAGAGCCAUAAACAUAAAAUUUGCCUGAACCACAUCAAUUUGCUAAGCCUACACUUGGAAUCUCUUUUGAAAAAAGACAGGUAAAAUGUGAAUUUUUCAAAAAAGAAAAUCCAUUUCCUGAGCCUUGAAAUAUUAUGUAUAUUGGCUGACAAUUUACAACAGAACAACACUCCACUUUUGUAAAAUCGCCUUUGAACAUGUUUGCACUGGGAUAGAUCCACUUAUAUUCCUAAAACUGUUAGAUGAGAACAAAACCAAAAUAGCAGGACAUCCUCUGAGUUUCUGGUUUCCUUGGUUUCCCAGAAGCUGCCAUCCUCUCUAAAGAGAAGACACUGCCUCCUCCAUGUGCCAAUGGGCUGCCAUAAUCAGCUACAAUCCUAGAACUCUGCCCCUUCCAAAAGGAUUGAGAGUGACAACCUCCUAUGUGAAAACAUUGGGACAUCAACCUGUGACCUGGCUGCCUGGACCAAGCAGUCACACAUCUAUCUCAUACACCUUUCCCAGACUCCGGGUUAUUCAGUCUAAAUAAGACCGGGUACAGGACAUCAAAAAUUCAUGCAGUGCACAUGUGGCCGUGACAAGUUAAGACUAGUUCCUUCUCAGUCUCUUUUUGUCCAACAAAGGUUCCAAAAAUUCUUGGCAUCCAGUCACACCCAGGGUCAACUUAUGACCAGAGCAAUGACAGUUAUUAUUCUGUAUUAAAUGCCCACUGAUACAUGGCAUGGCGUCAUGGGAAUUGAAGGGUCAGAGAAGCCCAGAGAGGCUACCACCAAUGAUCUCCCAGAAGGAUAAAAUAAAGAAAAGUAGGAGGAAGGAAGUGGAAAGAAGAAUGAGAAGGAACAAAGGAAUGGGGAAAGGAGCAGAUGGGUGCUAGUCAGGCCUAUACCUGCCUCACUGGGGAUUUUUACUACUCGAGUUAGCCUCAUUUUCACCCCAGGUGUAAAAGUCGCUCCGCAUCUCAAGUUCAACAUGGCUUGAUCUGGAUUUUUGUUAGAUGUUCAAGCUACAUAUCUGGGUCAAGGCACAAGUUUGUACUCAUCAACUCUAUUUUUUCAAGUAUUAUAUCUCCAAUGAAUAUUAUUCUUUUUUUGAGGAAAAAAGUUUUAAAUCAGGCACUGAAAAUUUUUCAAUAGUAUGAUCCAAUUUUAUGUAAAGAAUAUAUAAGUAUAUGAAUAGUAAAAGUGUCUGGAAGGGUAUACAUUGUUUCAAUUCUGUGCUUCUCU
rnacentral:lncRNA from 1 species